CGAGCACAUGGCCAACCGGACCGUCUACUAGUAAUCCCAUCGAGGGAGAGGAAGACCGUCACCAUGGGUUUUGGGCCGAGUUUGAAGCAAGCUUAAUUAGGCAUUGGCCAGGAGAGACAAGAAGUCACGUCUGUACAGAGCCUUGUCAGCUGCAGAGACGUUUGUCCUUCAAGAUGUCACAUGAGGAGAAGCUGGCUGAGGGGCACACAGGCCAUGGCACAUCGGCAGAGCCUUUAAAGGACAUUUAUUCCAGAUGCUUCCUGAGGGGCCACCGGUGGCCUGGGCUCCAUCUGCACUCCCCUCCUGUCCUGUCCCUGCCUCCUGAUUCACUCACCCUGCUUGGCAGGAGUGAGAAGCUCUGUUUGGCAUAAACAGCUCCUAUAACCAA